GCCUGGGUGGCUCAGUCGGUUGAGCGUCUGACUUCGGCUCAGGUCAUGAUCUCGUGGUCUGUGAGUUCGAGCCCCGCAUCAGGCU
rnacentral:tRNA from 1 species